GGACACCUGUGCAGGCAGGCAGCUAUAGCUGAGUGGAAGCAGAGCAGAGGUUCUUUUUUACGGAUGAAUUCAGCUUGGGUCAAGGUAUGCCUGAGUGUGGGAAGAAAGCGUGCAAACCACAGGCUGAGAAAGCUCCUGUAUGCUACUGAAGUGGUACCUUCCCCACCUCUGGGUGUUUGCACACACACUGGUGUGUUCACAUUCCUAUUCCUGAUGAAUUACAGCCGAGAAGUCUAAAGGUGCUCAGCGAAGGCAGGGUCACCGUUUCCCUACCUGCAGGACUCCUCUCUGCUUCGGGACAGCUCAGACCUUGGCCUCAUCACAUACCUGACAGACAUGGUCAGUUUUUGAAAUGCAGUUUAUUUUAUUGUGACUAGUGGCAGCCUGUAACUAAUAAAUGGGAAAGAGGAAGCAGAUUUGAGAUGCACCACUCAAACUCUUUCACGUGGUAAUAGUUCAGGUGCUGUAACUUGCACCUUUGCCUUAUUGUCUGCUUCCCUGGUCAACUGCCAGCACAGCGGGUUCAAGCUCUUGUUCAUGUCUUCUCCAGUACGUGGGCAAUACUUGUGCUCUGACCAGUUUUGAGAGAUAUCCAAUGAGGGCAAGGUUUUCAGAAGCAAUUUGCACCCAGGAACACAAACCGAGAACGGGAAGCUAUUGGGAGUUCAAGAGAGUGAUGGUUCAGUUACGGUGUUUGUUAACUGGGAACUGAGCUACUUCAAAAAUCUGUUCAAAAAACCAGAUGUGUAUAAAACACCUGUCAUUGCCUCUAAAGUAUCCUGCUGAACCUAAAGGCCAAUUCAAAGUGUUCAAAAUUUCCAUGAAACAUUCUGAUAAGACUGUAGCUUAAGAAACAUAUGGAGCGAUUUUUAUGUGAUUUUUAACGUUUUCAUGUCAUACUUUCAUUUUUAUUCCCACAUCCAUCAGCAAAGAGCACUUCUUUUAAAACAAUAAAGGCAUCAUUUUGUAUAUAUCCUAUCCUUAGACCAAACUGCAGGUCUUAAAACAGCACAUCAAAUUGGGAAGGCCUGUUACCAGCACUCAUUGGAAAUCAGCUCUUUCUUUGAGGAAGGGAGCGAAGGAACAAAAUUCCAAUUUGUAUUCCAGAUAUUACUAGGAAGUGUACCCGUAAAAUAAUAUGUAAAUUGAAAAUAAACAACUGAUAAAAGUUAUGAAUUAUAGCCCAUAUUAUUAAAAGUACAAUUUCUGUAGCUGCUAGCAGUAAAGAGAGGCAAAAACAUUUAAACCCAAGCACAGUUCCCUUUUUUCUCCAUAAGAACCAAGUACAGCUAAACGAAAUUAACUACGCAUUAGAAAAGAAAGAAAUAUAAAGAUUGAAGGAAGAAGUAGUAUUAAACUAUAUAGCUACAUGUAAAGUCAAACAUAAGGCAACAAAAUUUCAACUCUAUGAAUGUGAAUGUCUAAAAAUAUCAGAAGGAAAGUAAAACCUUGAUUAAGUAUUGUUAGUUAAUGAUAAUUGGCAGCUCUCUUCAGGGGGAAAACAACCUACAGCUAAACAAUGAAAUUCAAUUAGCAGUUAUUACCCAAGGUUUAUAAAUACCAUGCUCUCUUGGAAAUGCACAUUCAUGAAUUCUGAUCCUUAUUACCCUAAAGUAAAUACAGAGCAAGUCCAAGAAAAUUACGUGAACUCAGUGUAGAUCAGACUGCCAUAACUGGAAGUAGAUUGGCUGUAAUCUUUUGCUGGUAAUUCCCACUGAGUUGAUUAUGCUGUUUCAAAGGCAGUCAAUGAUGUGCUAAAAGGAGAGCCCCUAUAAAAAUGUCAGUGCAAACAAAGGGAAGAUUAGGAUGAUUUCCCCAAAGCUGAUGGAGUUCCUGAUGCUCCAGAUGCUAUUUUGCUAAGCAGCCAAGGACUUUUUUCUGUUACCUAUAAAGGGAUUUCUGAAGAACAAAUGUUUUGCUAAAGAAAUCACUGAAUUGCACAAGAUCGAAGGUAUUUUGA